GUAUUUGAACAUUCGCUAUUAUUGCACCGUAAAAGCGUCGCAAUGUUCUCUUUACACUGUGCAGACUCACCAAGAGUUUAUCUCCCUUUUUGUUGGUGCGUUGCCACGGAAACGACGCAAAGCUCUGUGUGUGUUUCAAACCUGCAGUUUGUGUUUACGUUGAGGAGGACAGCAGCACAUUAAUGGAGAUCACUGGGAGCACUUACAAAGGAACCACAAAAAAUGGCAGGAUGGAGGGGAAAGGAGAAUACACUUUCCCCACAGAGACCAAGUAUGAAGGAGAGAUGAAAGAUGGAAUGUUCCAUGGCAAAGGAGUGCUUCACUUUCCUAAUGGAAGUAAAUAUGAGGCCACUUGGGAAAACGGCAUAGCUAAACAGGGGUCUUUUACCUUUGCUGACGGCCUGCAGUACCAGGAGGAGGACUGGGACUACUGCAAUGGUGUGGAUAGACGCUUCUUCAGCGAGAGGUGCAAUGGACUCAGACCUGCAGGAGACUCUCAACUAACUGAUCUGCAUCCUCCACACGUUAUUCCGGAUUCAUGUUACGACUGCGGGGAUGGAUUUUAUGAUCCCGCCACGAGAGUUGUCACAUCCCACAUGGGCAGAUUCCUCAGGAACGCAGAAUAUCAUUCUUGAGACGCCUGCUCCUGUAUCCUGUGCGGAUUUAUUUUUUAACCCCGGGAGGUGAGUGAGGACACGUUUGUCAGUAUGUGUGUGAACACCGACUUUAUUGCAUAAUGGCUUCCGCCUAAGACGAGAACUGCAAGGAAGAUGGGACACUGGGAAGACCCACCCUAGCAGUGGGGGGGAGGUUCUGCUGUACCAAGGAAAGAGGAAGGAGCUCUGCAUGUAAUCGUCACAACUGGUGGAUAUGACUCAGAACACGAGUGGAUUGUGUGCACUUGUCGAAAAAGCCCAGGAUGAG